AAAGACUACUAGGGGAGCCGUAUGGCUGAGAUGAAUUGUAUUCAGACCCUUUGAACCUGAUAUAGUUAACACUAACGUAGGGAAGUAGCGUAGACAUUAA
rnacentral:ncRNA from 1 species